AGUCUGACUUCAGCACACCGCAGCUAAUCAUACUAUCCGAACUCCGUAUCGCAUGGCUUCGUUCUCAAUCCAGUGGCAGAAUACAGGUUUGGUAUUUUUAGUCGGUCUCCAUUUAGGGUUUCGGUUUGUGUCUCUUACAAUCUGGUGAUUUUUAUCUCAAUCAUUUGGCUACUAACGAUGUGAAUUGGUACUUUACACACACACACACACACAUGACACAACACACAUUUCUGGAGGUUCUUGAUAGUUGAGAGAUGCAAUGGGAUUGUCGAUCUAGACACACAAAUAUAUGAAACUCUUCGGACAUUAGAUGCCGUUUGGUUGAUAUAAAUAGAGUUAGAAAUUAGAUCUUUGGCACAUGUUUAGCUCUCGUCACUUGUGAUACCACUGGUUUUCUCUUGUUUCAUUUACGGUACCAUUGGCUAUUUUUCCUUUGGGUCAAGUUAUAUGAAAUCGGAGGUUUAGUUCCAUUUUUGUAUCCUACUUUUUCAGACCAAGUGUAGAACAGUUAGUAGUUUUAACAGUUAGCGCUUCUACUGGGUAUCAGCUGUUCCCUGACCUCAUUGGGUCUAAUUGGAUCAAUUCUAUUUAACUAGUGUGUAGUCGCAUUAAGUUACUUAUACUCAUCGAGUCAUACAAUAGGAGAAUAGUUUGUGAUGAAUAAUCUUCUCCACCUGUAAUUACCAUGACCCAGUCAUCAGGACAGCACUUGUAAAUGGUAUUUCCCUUUGCUUUUGGGUUUUUUACCUAUAUCUUGCUGUUGGUGUGAUGUGUGUGUUGUUUUCCACGGUGGGAAUGUUGCUGGUCAUAUUUCAUUGGCAUUUGUAAUUACAGUUGUCAUCAUUGUUACUAUUGUUGUUAAUGCUAUUGUUAUCCCAGGGCUGAAUCAUUGGGAAUGUUCUAAAUGAACACCCCGAUCUGCUUUUAAGUUUGAAAGAAAAAAUGCUCAAAUAUUUUGGCCACUCAAACUAAAUCUUUUUGUUGUAUGUGUUUUAUCGCUUUUAAUGUUUGAUUGUUGUGUGGCCUUCAUUCCAUCUGUCAUCUCCCCCCCCCCCCCCCCCCCCCCCCCAAAAAAAAAAAAAAAAAAAAAAAAAGGAAAACAAAAAAAUAUAGAAGCUAUAUAAUACACACAUAUUGGCCAAUUUUUGGCACUGUUAUUGCCAACUUACAGGCAUAUUUGUGCAGCCUUUUCAUUCUAGGUAAUAAAUAUUGGGCACCCUCGAAUUUGUCAUCUGCUAGUACAAUUCACUGAAGGAAGUGAGCAACUGAUAGGGGCAGAUAAACACUUGGUUUAAAGCAAUGAUUCUCUCUGCUCUUUUAACUUCUGUUGGAAUCAAUCUUGGUCUCUGUCUUCUAUUUUUUACUCUAUAUUCUAUAUUGAGGAAGCAGCCCGGCAAUAUCAGUGUUUAUGUGCCGCGCGGGGUUGCCAAGGAAAAAAUUCAGCAGAGAAGUGAUCAGUUCAACCUUGAAAGCCUAUUACCAUCUCCUGGUUGGAUGAGAAGGGCAUGGAAGCUAUCAGAAGAAGAACUACUGUCAGACUCUGGUUUGGAUGCAGUAGUCUUUAUGCGUAUUUUCACCUUUAGCUUGAAAAUAUUUGCUUUUGCCGGGAUCAUUGGAGUUUUUGUUCUUCUUCCAGUUAAUUUUAUGGGGAACCAGCUAAGUAUUGAUUUUUCUGAUUUGACACAGAAGUCCUUGGAUUCAUUCAGUAUUUCAAAUGUCAAUAAUGGAUCAAGCAGGCUAUGGAUUCACUUCUGUGCCAUUUAUGUCUUCACGGCAUUUGUCUGCUACCUUCUUUAUUCUGAGUAUAAAUAUCUUUCAUCAAAAAGGAUUGCUUGGUUCUAUGCAUCCAAACCUCAGCCACAUCAGUUCACUAUUUUAGUAAGAAAUAUACCUGCUUUGCCUGGGAGUAGCAUCAGUGAAAGUGUUGAGCGCUUUUUUACAGAGUGCCAUCCUUCCACAUAUCUUGGACAUGUCGUGGUUAAACGUACAAGUAAACUUCAGCACCUAAUUAAUCAAGCAGAUAAGGUGAAUAAGAGGCUUGUUCGGUUGAAAUCAACAAAACAUACUCUAGAAAGCUCGAGGCGCAAUGUUGAUCUGGUAGAUAGUUAUGAAAAAAAGCUACAUGAUCUACAAGAUCAGAUACGGUUGGAGCAAUCUUCAGGAAAGGAAGUCUCUGCUGCCUUUGUGGCUUUCAAGUCACGGUAUGGUGCUGCCCAAGCUUUGCACAUCCAACAAGGGAUCAAUCCAACAGAGUGGCUUACUGAGCCAUCUCCCGAGCCUCGCGAUGUCCACUGGUCCUUCUUUUCUGCCUCAUUCAUGAAGAGGUGGAUUUACAAGCUAGUGGCUGUGGUCGCAUACAUUACUCUUACAAUUUUAUUCCUUAUUCCGGUAGUUGUAGUGCAAGGUCUUACUCAUCUGGAUCAAUUGGAAACCUGGUUCCCUUUUCUGCGCAGCAUUCUGGAAAUAAAAGUUGUCAGUGAGGUGAUUACAGGAUAUCUUCCUAGUCUUAUUCUACAGAUGUUUCUAUUAUUUGUGCCACCAAUUAUGAUGGCUCUUUCUUCCAUUCAAGGGCUUAAUGCACUCAGUCAGAUAGAAAGAAGUGCAUGUUUUAAGUUAUUGUGGUUUACCAUAUGGAACAUAUUCUUUGCAAAUGUACUGUCAGGAUCAGCUCUCUACGAUGUAAAUAUCUUCCUGGAGCCAAAGGAAAUCCCUGGCAUAUUAGCUGAAGCGGUUCCCGCACAGGCAGCCUUCUUCAUUGCAUAUGUUGUGACAUCUGGAUGGACCAGUACAUCUUCUGAGCUCUUUAGGAUGUUCCCCCUCAUUUUCAGUUACAUAAAAAGGAUAUUUUCUGGAAAAGGUGAUGAUGAUUUUGAGGCGCCAUCAAUUCCUUAUCAUAGUGAAAUUCCAAAGAUUCUCUUCUUUGGACUUCUUGGUGUCACAUACUUUUUCCUUGCACCCUUAAUUCUGCCAUUCGUCUUGGUUUUCUACUGCCUAGGGUAUAUCGUUUACCGUAACCAGCUAGUGGAUGUUUAUGAGCCAAUAUUUGAAACUGGGGGAAAAUUUUGGCCAAUAGUGCACGGUUCUACGAUAUUUUCCCUGGUAUUGAUGCAUAUUAUUGCCAUUGGAACAUUCAGCCUGAAGGAACUUCCCCUGGCUUCCACCUUAAGCAUUCCUCUUCCAGUUCUUACUUUGUUGUUCCAUGACUAUUGCCUGAGACGGUUUUUACCCAUAUUCGAGGCGUAUCCUGCUGAGUGUUUGAUAAAGAAAGAUAGGGCUGAUCAAAGUGACCCUACAAUCGCUGAUUUGCCCGACGACUUACACACUGCAUAUCAUGAUCCUGCUCUGAAGCAAAUCCAAAAUUCUGGUAGUAGUGAUCAGCAAAGCCCUCUCCUUGGCGACGCCGAUAUUUAAGAGUUGUUAGCGGGUAUCAGUUAGUGGGUUUCUUGGGGAUGCUGUGCCCUUAAAAGACCACAGUCCUGAAGCGAUUGCCCUUCUUCUUGUUGCUACUAUAUAUGUUGAGGCUUCAUGUUGUGACCAGACCAGACCAGGGCUGUUCUUCCCUUUCCAAAUGCGCACAUAGUUCUGGACUGGUUUUACCCAUACAUUCGUCUUCUUCCUGUCGAUGCCUGCUGUUAUGAUGUUACUGUUGGGGUGUUGGUUGCUGACUGGUGUUACUGCGCGUCCACGUGGAGGAGUUAGACAGGCCAUUUGACAUCGUCCCUUUACUGUUGACGUGUCAUUUCUCAAUGACAGCGCAACUCCGUAGUAACAACGUACACAGAGGACUUCGAUGCCGGCAUCUGCUAUUGUUUUAUCAGUUAUCGUUUUCCUUCUUACCUUUUCUUUUUGGGCACUGUUUCAGUACCCUUUUAUGUACCGUUGUUUAAGGGACGUAAUGUAAGAAAGCAAAGGUGUUGUGAAAU